AGGACGAACGCUGGCGGCGUGCUUAAACACAUGCAAGUCGAGCGGAAAGGCCCUUCGGGGUACUCGAGCGGCGAACGGGUGAGUAACACGUGAGCAAUCUGCCCCUAGCUUCGGGAUAGCUCCGGGAAACCGGAAUUAAUACCGAACACGACUACGGCCGACAUCGGCUGUGGUGGAAAGUUUUUCGGCUAGGGAUGAGCUCGCGGCCUAUCAGCUUGUUGGUGAGGUAACGGCUCACCAAGGCGACGACGGGUA
rnacentral:rRNA from 1 species